UCGAUUAUAUUAUCACUAAUGCACCGGAUUCUAUCAAAACUUCGCAGUUAAGCGUACUUGGACGAGAGUAAUACUAUGAUGGGUGACCCCCUGAAAAGUCCUCAUAUUACACCCU